rnacentral:tRNA from 1 species
GCGGGGAUAGCUUAGUUGGGAGAGCGUCAGAUUGAAGAUUGAAGGUCGGGUGUUCGAUCCACGCUCACCGCA